CCUACGGGAGGCAGCAGUGGGGAAUAUUGCACAAUGGGGGAAACUCUGAUGCAGCGACGCCGCGUGAGUGAAGAAGUAUUUCGGUAUGUAAAGCUCUAUCAGUAGGGAAGAAAAAGACGGUACCUGACUAAGAAGCCCCGGCUAACUACGUGCCAGCAGCCGCGGUAAUACGUAGGGGGCAAGCGUCAUCCGGAUUUACUGGGUGGAAGGGGAGCGUAGACGGCGCGGCAAGUCUGAAGUGAAAGGCAGGGGCUUAACCCAUGAACUGCUUUGGAAACUGCCAUGCUGGAGUGCAGGAGAGGAAAGUGGAAUUCCUAGUGUAGCGGUGAAAUGCGUAGAUAUUAGGAGGAACACCAGUGGCGAAGGCGGCUUACUGGACAGUAACUGACGUUGAGGCUCGAAAGCGUGGGGAGCAAACAGGAUUAGAUACCCUAGUAGUC
rnacentral:rRNA from 1 species